CUGGGACGCCAGACGCAGUGGCUCAUGCCUGUAAUCCUAGCACUUUUGAGAGGCCGGGGUGGGCGGAUCACAAGGUCAGGAGAUUGAGACCAUUCUGACCAACACGGUGAAACCCCAUCUCUACUAAAAAUACAAAAAACUAGCCAGGCGUGGUGGCGGGCACCUAUAGUCCCAGCUACUUAGGAGGCUGAGGCAAGAGAAUCACUUGAACCCAGGAGGCAGACGUUGC
rnacentral:lncRNA from 1 species